rnacentral:rRNA from 1 species
CCUACGGGCGGCAGCAGUGGGGAAUAUUGCACAAUGGGGGAAACCCUGAUGCAGCGACGCCGCGUGAGUGAAGAAGUAUCUCGGUACGUAAAGCUCUAUCAGCAGGGAAGAAAAUGACGGUACCUGACUAAGAAGCCCCGGCUAACUACGUGCCAGCAGCCGCGGUAAUACGUAGGGGGCAAGCGUUAUCCGGAUUUACUGGGUGUAAAGGGAGCGUAGACGGCAGUGCAAGUCUGGCGUGAAAGCCCGGGGCUUAACCCCGGAACUGCUUUGGAAACUGUACGGCUGGAGUGCAGGAGAGGUAAGCGGAAUUCCUAGUGUAGCGGUGAAAUGCGUAGAUAUUAGGAGGAACACCGGUGGCGAAGGCGGCUUACUGGACUGUAACUGACGUUGAGGCUCGAAAGCGUGGGGAGCAAACAGGAUUAGAUACCCGAGUAGUC